AGGGUUUGAUCAUGGCUCAGAACGAACGCUGGCGGCGUGGAUAAGACAUGCAAGUCGAGCGCUAUACUUACUGUAGCAAUACAGUAAGUGUGGAGCGGCGCAAGGGUGCGUAACACGUGGGUAAUUUGCCGUAAAGUUGGGGAUAACUCGCUGAAAGGCGAGCUAAUACCGAAUGUGGUUACUGGAUGGCAUCAUCUGUUAACUAAAGCUGGGGAUCGUAAGACCUGGCGCUUUAUGAUAAGCCCGCGGCCUAUCAGCUAGUUGGUGAGGUAACGGCUCACCAAGGCUAAGACGGGUAGCUGGUCUGAGAGGACGACCAGCCACACUGGAACUGAGACACGGUCCAGACACCUACGGGUGGCAGCAGUCGAGAAUUUUUCUCAAUGGGCGCAAGCCUGAAGGAGCGACGCCGCGUGUGGGAUGAAGGGUUUCGAUCCGUAAACCACUGUCAUUUGUGAACAAUGGUUGCUAUUUAAAAGAUGGUAACUUGAUAGUAAUGAAAGAGGAAGGGACGGCUAACUCUGUGCCAGCAGCCGCGGUAAUACAGAGGUCCCAAGCGUUGUUCGGAUUCACUGGGCGUAAAGGGUGCGUAGGUGGCAUGGUAAGUUUGAUGUGAAAGCUCAGGGCUCAACCCUGAAAUGGCAUUGAAUACUACUGUGCUGGAGGUUUGGAGGGGGGACUGGAAUUCUUGGUGUAGCAGUGAAAUGCGUAGAUAUCAAGAGGAACACCAGUGGCGAAGGCGAGUCCCUGGACAACACCUGACACUGAGGCACGAAAGCUAGGGGAGCAAACAGGAUUAGAUACCCUGGUAGUCCUAGCCCUAAACGGUGCGCAUUUGCUGUAGGAGGAAUCGACCCCUUCUGUGGCGAAGCUAACGCGAUAAAUGCGCCGCCUGGGGAGUACGGUCGCAAGAUUAAAACUCAAAGAAAUUGACGGGGGCCUGCACAAGCGGUG
rnacentral:rRNA from 1 species